CAUAGGUUAAUGAGGCGAACCGGGGGAACUGAAACAUCUAAGUACCCCGAGGAAAAGAAAUCAACCGAGAUUCCCCCAGUAGCGGCGAGCGAACGGGGAGGAGCCCAGAGCCUGAAUCAGUGUGUGUGUUAGUGGAAGCGUCUGGAAAGGCGCGCGAUACAGGGUGACAGCCCCGUACACAAAAAUGCACAUGCUGUGAGCUCGAUGAGUAGGGCGGGACACGUGGUAUCCUGUCUGAAUAUGGGGGGACCAUCCUCCAAGGCUAAAUACUCCUGACUGACCGAUAGUGAACCAGUACCGUGAGGGAAAGGCGAAAAGAACCCCGGCGAGGGGAGUGAAAAAGAACCUGAAACCGUGUACGUACAAGCAGUGGGAGCCUCUUUAUGGGGUGACUGCGUACCUUUUGUAUAAUGGGUCAGCGACUUAUAUUCUGUAGCAAGGUUAACCGAAUAGGGGAGCCGAAGGGAAACCGAGUCUUAACUGGGCGUUAAGUUGCAGGGUAUAGACCCGAAACCCGGUGAUCUAGCCAUGGGCAGGUUGAAGGUUGGGUAACACUAACUGGAGGACCGAACCGACUAAUGUUGAAAAAUUAGCGGAUGACUUGUGGCUGGGGGUGAAAGGCCAAUCAAACCGGGAGAUAGCUGGUUCUCCCCGAAAGCUAUUUAGGUAGCGCCUCGUGAAUUCAUCUCCGGGGGUAGAGCACUGUUUCGGCAAGGGGGUCAUCCCGACUUACCAACCCGAUGCAAACUGCGAAUACCGGAGAAUGUUAUCACGGGAGACACACGGCGGGUGCUAACGUCCGUCGUGAAGAGGGAAACAACCCAGACCGCCAGCUAAGGUCCCAAAGUCAUGGUUAAGUGGGAAACGAUGUGGGAAGGCCCAGACAGCCAGGAUGUUGGCUUAGAAGCAGCCAUCAUUUAAAGAAAGCGUAAUAGCUCACUGGUCGAGUCGGCCUGCGCGGAAGAUGUAACGGGGCUAAACCAUGCACCGAAGCUGCGGCAGCGACGCUUAUGCGUUGUUGGGUAGGGGAGCGUUCUGUAAGCCUGUGAAGGUGUACUGUGAGGUAUGCUGGAGGUAUC
rnacentral:rRNA from 1 species